rnacentral:rRNA from 1 species
AUGCUGGAUGCCCGCAAUCUUAAAUGCUUCUGCGGCAUUAACCUUGGUGCCAUCGGGAGCCACAGCCACGGCAUUUGGGCGGCCGGUGACAAGUCCCGCGAUGUAGGAGAGCGGGACGAGAUCGCCGGAAGCGGUGAUGGUGCCCCGGAGAGGCAGGCACGGUGUAACGUUGGCGUUGAGCAGCGUGGCGAUGGUCUCGAGAAUCUCGAAGCGGAUGCCGGAGUACCCUUGGAGCAGGGUGUUGACGCGGACAAGCAUCGCCGCGCGCGUGGUGGCCGCUGGCAGCACGUGACCAUCGCUGCCGGUGCCAAACGCCCCAGCGUUAAGGAACCGGAUGAGCUCCCUCUGCAGAGCGCCGCCCUCCUUGGUCCUCCGAUAGGAGGUGGCGCCGAAGCCGGUGGUGACGCCGUAGCUGUCGGUGCCGUUCGCCAUGCUGGUCAUCACCCAGUCGCUGCUCUCCUUGACGCGGCCGCGGGCGGACUCGUCGAGCUCCACCCUGGCACCAUCGGCGGCGGCCACCGCCGCGACCUGGGCGAUGGUCAAGCUGGCGCCCUCCAUAACCACCACCGGCCUGCGGUACUCCUCUACCAUCCGCUUGACGGCGUCCAGAUGGCUCCCCGACAGCUCCUCCGCCGCCUUCCCCCAGUUGAGCGGGUCAGCACUCCGUGGCUGGGCCACGCAAAUACCAUCGCUGCCGUUGGCGGCCAUUGGUUUGAUCAACACUGUAUCUUGAAGUCUCGCUUGCAGCAGUUGUGUGAGAGAGAAGAGCUCGACUGUGUCAGCUGGAUUUUUGAUGUGGCGACUGACUGA